rfam:Ictidomys tridecemlineatus contig097315, whole genome shotgun sequence.
CAAAAGGACUUAAUAAAGUCUACCUAAUAUUAUAUUUAAGGAGGGUU